UAUAAGGGAUUUUGAGUUUUUGCUUGCAACGUUUGACCACUCGUUUUUUUUUGAAAUUAUUAUUUAUUUUAUUUGUGACUUACUUUAUUAUCUAUAAUACUUUAAGCACACCUUUUUGUUUUUUAUAUUUGCAAAAAAAAUUUGAAUAAGACGAGUGGUCAAACGUUGCAAACAAAAACUCAAAAUUCCUUAUAUU
rnacentral:pre_miRNA from 1 species